rnacentral:rRNA from 1 species
UACGGAGGUGGCAAGCGUUGUUCGGAUUUAUUGGGCGUAAAGCGCGCGCAGGCGGUUUCUUAAGUCUGAUGUGAAAGCCCCCGGCUCAACCGGGGAGGGUCAUUGGAAACUGGGAGACUUGAGUGCAGAAGAGGAUAGUGGAAUUCCUAGUGUAGCGGUGAAAUGCGUAGAGAUUUGGAGGAACACCAGUGGCGAAGGCGACUGUCUGGUCUGUAUCUGACGCUGAGGCGCGAAAGCGUGGGGAGCAAACAGG